CAUCUUCCGAACCGCUUGAUCCUCACUAGGGUCGCGGGGGGUGCUGGAGCCUAUCCUAGCCGUCUUCGGGCAGUAGGCGGGGGACACCCUGAAUCAGUUGCCAGCCAAUUGCAGGGCACACAGAGACGAACAACCAUCCACGCCCACACUCACACCUAGGGACAAUUUCGAGUGUUCAAUCAGCCUGCCAUGCAUGUUUUUGGAAUGUGGGAGGAAACCGGAGCACCCGGAGAAAACCCACGCAGCCCCGGGGAGAA